CAGUAGCCGCGGUAAUACGAAGGGUGCAAGCGUUAAUCGGAAUUACUGGGCGUAAAGCGUGCGUAGGCGGUUUGUUAAGUCUGCUGUGAAAUCCCCGGGCUCAACCUGGGAAUGGCAGUGGAUACUGGCAAGCUAGAGUGUGUCAGAGGAUGGUGGAAUUCCCGGUGUAGCGGUGAAAUGCGUAGAGAUCGGGAGGAACAUCAGUGGCGAAGGCGGCCCCCUGGACAAAGACUGACGCUCAGGUGCGAAAGCGUGGGGAGCAAACAGGAUUAGAGACCCCCGUAGUCCCUGUCUUUAUACA
rnacentral:rRNA from 1 species